CUGAGGUACGCUCGGUGUCGCUUCGGCGCGCCGGUUGCCCGCCCUUAUGUCAUACGUGCCGGAGCCGCUCCUCCCUGCCCUCGGGCGGGUUGGGCGGCGACGGGAACAUCACUUCGGUCGAGGUGUUGCGUCCGGUUUGGGAGGGUCUCCCCCCCCUUCUCUGGCGCGACCGCGGCCGGCCGUAUCUUUACACUCUUUGUGAGAACAUGAAGUCUGAAUCAAAAUUGAAAUAAAGCAA
rnacentral:misc_RNA from 1 species